rnacentral:rRNA from 1 species
GAUGAACGCUGGCGGCGUGCCUAAUACAUGCAAGUCGAGCGAACAGACGAGGAGCUUGCUCCUCUGACGUUAGCGGCGGACGGGUGAGUAACACGUGGAUAACCUACCUAUAAGUCUGGGAUAACUUCGGGAAACCGGAUCUAAUACCGGAUAAUAUAUUGAACCGCAUGGUGCAAUAGUGAAAGACGGUUUUGCUGUCACUUAUAGAUGGAUCCGCGCCGCAUUAGCUAGUUGGUAAGGUAACGGCUUACCAAGGCAACGAUGCGUAGCCGAACUGAGAGGGUGAUCGGCCACACUGGAACGGGGACACGGUCCAGACGCCUACGGGAGGCAGCAGUAGGGAAUCUUACGCAAUGGGCGAAAGCUUGACGGAGCAACGCCGCGUGAGUGAUGAAGGUCUUCGGAUCGUAAAACUCUGUUAUUAGGGAAGAACAAAUGUGUAAGUAACUAUGCACGUCUUGACGGUACCUAAUGAGAAAGCCCCGGCUAACUACGUG